rnacentral:rRNA from 1 species
AACGAACGCUGGCGGCAUGCCUAACACAUGCAAGUCGAACGAAACCUUCGGGUCUAUUGGCGCACGGGUUCGUAACGCGUGGGAACCUGCCCUUAGGUUCGGAAUAACUCCCCGAAAGGGGUGCUAAUACCGGAUAAUGUCUUCGGACCAAAGAUUUAUCGCCUUUGGAUGGGCCCGCGUUGGAUUAGCUAGUUGGUAGGGUAAAAGACUACCAAGGCGACGAUCCAUAGCUGGUCUGAGAGGAUGAUCAGCCACACUGGGACUGAGACACGGCCCAGACUCCUACGGGAGGCAGCAGUGGGGAAUAUUGGACAAUGGGGGAAAGCCUGAUCCAGCAAUGCCGCGUGAGCGAUGCAGGCCUUAGGGUUGUAAAGCUCUUUUACCCGGGAUGAUAAUGACAGUACCGGGAGAAUAAGCUCCGGCUAACUCCGUG